rnacentral:rRNA from 1 species
UAGUCCACGCCGUAAACGAUGAUAACUAGCCGUUGGAUUUAUCCAGUGGCGCAGCUAACGCGUUAAGUUAUCCGCCUGGGGAGUACGGCCGCAAGGCUAAAACUCAAAUGAAUUGACGGGGACCCGCACAAGCGGUGGAGCAUGUGGUUUAAUUCGAUGCAACGCGAAAAAACCUUACCUACACUUGACAUACUUCGAAUUUUCUAGAGAUAGAUUAGUGCCUUCGGGAGCGAAGAUACAGGUGCUGCAUGGCUGUCGUCAGCUCGUGUCGUGAGAUGUUGGGUUAAGUCCUAUAACGAGCGCAACCCUUACCCUUAUUUGCCAGCGGUUAGGCCGGGAACUAUAAGGGAACUGCCGGUGCAAACCGUGAGGAAGGUGGGGAUGACGUCAAAUCAUCACGGCCCUUACGUCCUGGGGCUACACACGUGCUACAAUGGGUAGGUACAGAGAGUAGCCAAUGCGCGAGCAUGAGCGAAUCU